UUUGCAACUAAAGUUUCAAGGGAUCUGCUGC
rnacentral:piRNA from 2 species